rnacentral:rRNA from 1 species
AAAAUAACCAUGAUUCCCUUAGUAGUGGCGAAUGAACCGGGAUCAGUUCAAGCCUUUAAUCCUACACUUUUGUGUCAGGAGUUGUGGUCUACCACGGAGAUACCUGGGUCGUCUUCCCGACUAGAUCUUGUUGAAAUAUAGUGUCAUAGAGGGUUAUAACCCCGUCCGUUGGGAAAGUGUACCUACCUGGUAUUUUCGAUAGUGAGUCGUGUUACUUGGGACUGUAGCAUUAAUCGGGUGGUAAUAUCCAUCUAAAACUAAAUAUUUCUCUGAGACCGAUAGCGAACAAGUACCGUGAGGGAAAGAUGAAAAGGAAUUUGAAAAGAUUGUGAAAAGUACGUGAAAUCGUUAGGUGAAAGCGAAUAGCAUACCACUAAACGUGCACUUUACUAUUGUUAAAGGGCCUGUUUCAAGCUUGCUUGUACAGGUUCUACGCAAUAGUUUUGUGGAGGUCUGACUGUUCUUUCUCGUUUGUAAUUGUGUUCCGAAUUUCUUGUAUGUUCGCAAAAUGUGACGUGCUUGAUUUUUUGUUCCUGUUGCUUUCGUUUGAACGUCUUGACGUUUUUUUUUGGUGUUGUUAUCCGACCCGUCUUGAAACACGGACCAAGGAGUCUAACGUAUGUGCGAGUAUUUGGGUGACAAACCCGUUUGCGUAGAGAAAUCGAUUGACUGAUAACACUCGUGUUCCUCAGCAGCUGAAACUGAUUCUAUGGAUGAUGGCUACUCGCUUGA